rnacentral:rRNA from 1 species
UACGUAGGGGGCUAGCGUUGUCCGGAUUUAUUGGGCGUAAAGAGCGUGUAGGCGGCCAGGUAGGUCUGCUGUGAAAACUCGAGGCUCAACCUCGAGACGUCGGCGGAAACCAUCUGGCUAGAGUCCGGAAGAGGAGAGUGGAAUUCCUGGUGGUAGCGGUGAAAUGACGCAGAUAUCAGGAGGAACACCGGUGGCGAAGGCGGAUCUCUGGGCCUGUCCUGACGCUCAGGCGCGAAAGCUAGGGGAGCAAACAGG